rnacentral:rRNA from 1 species
UACGUAGGGCGCAAGCGUUGUCCGGAAUUAUUGGGCGUAAAGAGCUCGUAGGCGGCCUGUCGCGUCCGCUGUGAAAUCCCGGGGCUUAACCCCGGGCGUGCAGUGGAUACGGGCUGGCUAGAGGCAGGCAGGGGAGAACGGAAUUCCCGGUGUAGCGGUGAAAUGCGCAGAUAUCAGGAGGAACACCGAUGGCGAAGGCAGAUCUCUGGGCCGUAACUGACGCUGGAGGAGCGGAAAGCAUGGGGAGCGAACAGG